rnacentral:rRNA from 1 species
UACGUAGGGCGCAAGCGUUAUCCGGAAUUAUUGGGCGUAAAGAGCUCGUAGGCGGUUUGUCGCGUCUGCCGUGAAAGUCCGGGGCUCAACUCCGGAUCUGCGGUGGGUACGGGCAGACUAGAGUGAUGUAGGGGAGACUGGAAUUCCUGGUGUAGCGGUGGAAUGCGCAGAUAUCAGGAGGAACACCGGUGGCGGAGGCGGGUCUCUGGGCAGUAACUGACGCUGAGGAGCGAAAGCGUGGGGAGCGAACAGG